rnacentral:rRNA from 1 species
GAUGAACGCUAGCUACAGGCUUAACACAUGCGAGUCGAGGGGUAACGAGAGGAAAGCUUGCUUUCCUUGUCGACGACCGGCGCACGGGUGAGUAACGCGUAUCCAACCUGCCCCCAACUAGGGAAUAACCUUGCGAAAGUAAGACUAAUACCCUAUAAUUUCCUCAGAUGACAUCUGACGAGGAAUAAAGAUUUAUCGGUUGUGGAUGGGGAUGCGUCUGAUUAGCUUGUUGGCGGGGUAACGGCCCACCAAGGCAACGAUCAGUAGGGGUUUGGAGAGGAAGGUCCCCCACAUUGGAACUGCGACACGGUCCAAACUCCUACGGGAGGCAGCAGUGAGGAAUAUUGGUCAAUGGGCGGAAGCCUGAACCAGCCAAGUAGCGUGCAGGAUGACGGCCCUAUGGGUUGUAAACUGCUUUUAUACAGGAAUAAAGUUAGCCACGUGUGGUUAUUUGUAGGUACUGUAUGAAUAAGGACCGGCUAAUUCCGUGCCAGCCGCCGCGGUAA